UCCCAAAAAUAACUCUAGACGAAUUCAUGGUUCAGGUUAAGAAAUCAACGACUCAGGGCUUUCGACGAAUAAAUCGAUAUUGAAAAUAAUGAUAGUCGAUAAAAUAUUGUUGAUAAUUUUUAUAAGGAUAAAAGGUGAUGAGAAUUAUUUAUUAGAAAUAAUAUAUGAGUUAUAUUAUAAAUAAGAUAAGGUUUGUGUUAAAAUUGUCUAUUUCGAAUUAUAUGUGGUUGAUUCGAUAACAAAAAAAGAGCCAAAUAAGUAACAAGGAUUAAGGAAUAAAGUAGCAUUAAAAGUAAGUAUUAGAAGUAUAGUGAGGGUGAGAAUGAGAAGAAAAUCGGAGUUGAAUCGGGAAUCAUAAAUAGAAUACGGUAGAAGGGCAAAAUCGUCUUUUCACAUGAAAUAAAUAAAAUAUCUUGUUUAAAUCAUAGGGCACGAAAUUUCCAGCAUUUUGGACAUGUUUGACUUCAAAAUAUGCCUUAAAGUUAAUAGAAAAUUCUAGAGAAAAUAAAAUAACUAUGCAUGAUUUGAUGAAUGCCACUUGUACACCAAAAAUACCAUGAAAUUAAUUAAUAAUUUGGGACACUUUUAUAAACCAAAAAUAACACUAUUUAUCCUCAUUUUCAUCCCAAAAGUCGUGUCCUCCAUAGCCAAGGAGUUCCAAGCUUUCAUCUUCAAAUUUUAGCUCCGUUUCUCAACGUAUUGAAUACCCGAUCGCGCAAUCGGUGUUAAAUCAAGCUACACCCAAAUGUUAGCAAAUGAAAGGAAAAAGGAUCGGCGAAAGAAGAAAUGUCGAAUGGAAAGGUUUGGAAAUAACGUCAUCCAGGUAGCAUGCUCAACACUUAAAUGGCCUAAUUCUCUUACGUGUUUUUCCGUGAUUAUUACGUGACGAUAAAUGAUAUAUGAUGAUGAGAUGUAUACAAAUAUGAUUAAAUGUGAUGAUGCUUGAUCGAUCUAUCUAUCUAUCUAUCUAUCUGUGAUGAGGUAUGAUCUGUCUGUGUUGUUGGGAAUCUGGGAUGAUUUUGAGAAUGUCGGAAUUUAAUCUAUAAAUUCGAUAUGAUAUGGUGUGAAAAUAAGUUGUUGAUGUGUUAUAUUAGAAAUAAUUGAGAAUAUGUAUUGAGAUGAAAAUGAGUAAAUUUGAUGGUGUUUACGCCCCGUGCUUGAGUGUAUUCUGUGGGUACAAUUGGCAUGCCAUAGGACAGCAGCGCUGCAUCAUCUGUGAUCUCUCGUCUUCUGGAUAACUGAAGCGAGGAUCGUCUGUUAUCUGAUCUGUCUGAUCUACACCCUAUGGGUGGUCUGUUCCCGGGAUUAUCUGUAUGCAUCCGAAAUGGAUGGUCUGAUUAUCUGUCUGCACCCUAAUUGGGUGGUCUGUGCAGAGUCCUCUCGAGGACAAAAUCCGCGUUUGUAUCUGAUUCUGAUUUGGUCCGUGUACCCUAGUCUGUCACUAAGCACAUUAAGGGGCCAUGUGUGAAAUUAUGUGAUAAUGUCGAUCAAAAUAUUCGUGAUGAUAUAUGUGACAAUAUGUGUAUGACAACAUAUGAGUUAUAAUAUGAGAUUGUGUGAAACAUCUGUUAUAAUUUGAUAUGAUAAUAUCUUAUACGUGAAAAUAGAUUCUGUUACAUGGUUCUGUUGAGUUUUAUUAUAAAUAUUGAAAAUCUGAGACUUGCAGAUGUAGUUUAUGACAUGUGAAGUUUUGUAUUAUUAUACCCCUCUGAUGACAUAGUUUGGAAAUUUGAAGUCGUGGACGAAGAUUUGACUACUGGUACGGGUUAAUUGGAUCGUGGAUUCCUUUGGAUAUUUCUUUCGUUUCUUCGCCAGCACUGCAUCCUCGGUGGGUCACUGAUCACUGCUUGCGGCGUUUGUGUCCAUUUAUGUUAGAUGUGGCAUGUAUAGUAUUUGAAUAUUUGUAAUAGCUUCCGCUGUGUUUGUAAAUAGUGUUGGAACUUUUGCUGAUAGGUUAAUGAAUUAAGUUUGGUUUUUAAUUGACCAUAAUUUAUGGCACCGUAAUUGUGACAUUUCCUAUUCGACCGUUCGCCGAUCGGGUAGGGGGUGUUACAAGUUGGUAUCAGAGCCUAGGUUUAGGUGUUCCUAGGCUCUUGGUGGGUUUAGUAACAUGCCACAUAGGGUGUCUAGUCGUAUUCGAUAUCAGUGACCUGAUGCAGUGGCUGCAGUAUGUCAGUAUAGAAGUUUGUCAAACGAGGAUUUGAUAAAGUAUAAAGUCUAAAGUUUAUCAAAGUACGGGACAAGAAUUCUCGUGUGACCGAGAAAUGUGGUUAUAUGGGACUGGCCACCCCACAUAACUCGAAUCUCGGUAGUGUCAUUGUCGGACACAAAAAAAAAAUGAUGUCAAGUUGAAUAAGUUUAGAAAGGUUGAUAAGAAAUGUGUUCUAAUAAAAAGAAAGUAACGAGCUCAUUGGCAUUGUAGGAAAAUAUGAUGUCAGCUAAAAGAUUGUAAAGUAUAAAAUGAUUAGUAAGUAAAUUAUUUGCUAAUUAUGAUUUGAGAUCUGAUUUUGAUAUAUGUUGAACAUGACAAUGAUGUGGAUAAUAAAUGAAUAUGGUCAUAUAAGUGUUGUGCCCUUGCUUAUGCGUUAACAUCGGGUAUAGAAAUUAUUUAUGAUAUAUGAUACAUAGUGUCAUUCUAUACUUGGUGUGAUGGGAGGAAAUAAUAUGAUGUGACGAUUGGUGUGAUGGGAGGAUUUGAUUGACCCCAUGCGGGUGCAUUUUGCUUUGUACGUAUACCCGUGUUUAUCGUUAAGCACACUUAGGCAAAUAAGUGAAAAUAUGUGAUAAUGUGUAUUUGCCUACGGAUAACAUAUGUGUUCUGUGAUCUAUAAAUGUGUUGGUUAUGGAUAAGAAUGUGAUAUAUCCUUUGUAUUUGAUUUUGAUAAAUCGUAUGAAUAUAUGAUGUUAAGUUUUAUACGACGAAAGCGGGCUAUCUGAAUGUGAACAUGUGAAUUGAUUGAUACCUGAUAUGGAUGAAUAUGUGUGCUCUAAAUGAGCUUAAAUGUAGAGGGGUUAUUUAGUAAUCGUUAUAUCUGAUGAUAUUUAAGGAUAUAUAGGAAUGUAUGGAAUUAUAUGAUGUUUUCAGAUGUAGUGAUAUAUGUAAAUGUGUGCCCUAAAUGGAUUAUACGAUGCACAAAAUGAACUAUUAGCAUAUAAUGUGAUACGAUGAGAAAUUCGUGCGCUACAUGUGAUAAAGGAAUGUGUUCAAAGUUAAGUCACGUGAGAUGAAAUAUGAUAUGAUUGAAAGUAAGAAAUUCAUAUGAAUUAUAUGCUUGAAACGAACUAUGAGAAUGCGAAAAAUUUUAUGAUUGAUACCUGAUGGGAUUUGAAAAUAAAUAUGGUUGUUGACGAAUGUUAACUUGCUAUUUGAACUUUGUUGUGAAUUGUUUGUUUGAUUUGAUAAUUUAUUAUUAAUAUUGUAUCUUGUGGCUUAUAGGGAAAAUGAAAAAUAAAUGAUAAAAUCUGAAUUUGUGUGCCCUUGAAUGGGUUAUAUGUGCGCUCGAGAUCGAGCUAUGUGAUGUGAAUGGAAGUAUGAAUUCUGUAUGGGUUAUAUGUUUGCUCGAAAUUGGGCAAUAGGAAAUAUGAUGUGACGCGAUAAAGAUAUAAGCUAAGUAAUUGUACAUGAUAUAAGAUAUGUGAUACAAUUCAGAGAAAUGUAUGUAACUAUGAUGUGAAGAAAAUGUAUGACGUGUUGCGAGUGAUAAUGAAGGAAAAUGUAAUGAAAAUAUUAUGAUGAUAUAUGGAAAUCGAAAUACACCCUUUAUGGGCUAUAUGUGCCCGAAUAAGGCCUAUACAGUGAUGAAUAUGUGAACCAUACAUAUAUGUGACGAAGAUGAUAUGUGCGCCCUAUGUGGGUAAGAAAAGAUGUAUAUAACAUGGAAAUUAAUAUAUAAAGAAAUGAUAAUGUGACAAUUAUGCUUGAAAUAUGUUAAAGAUAGUGAUAAUAUUAUUAUUAUGUGAUUGUAAAAUGUGGCUAUGAGUUAAGGUAUGAUUAUGUGAUUUUGAGUGUCACUCUGUGUUUGGUUGUGGAAGUGAAGAUGCACUAUGUAGAUGAGGAUAUAGGAUGCUAUAGAAUGACAUAUAUGAACCUGCGAGGCUUUUAGGAAUAAAGUAAACUCGAUGGAAUUUCGAGGACGAAAUUCUUUUUAGGGGGGAAGAGUUGUAACAUCCCAAAAAUAACUCUAGACGAAUUCAUGGUUCAGGUUAAGAAAUCAACGACUCAGGGCUUUCGACGAAUAAAUCGAUAUUGAAAAUAAUGAUAGUCGAUAAAAUAUUGUUGAUAAUUUUUAUAAGGAUAAAAGGUGAUGAGAAUUAUUUAUUAGAAAUAAUAUAUGAGUUAUAUUAUAAAUAAGAUAAGGUUUGUGUUAAAAUUGUCUAUUUCGAAUUAUAUGUGGUUGAUUCGAUAACAAAAAAAGAGCCAAAUAAGUAACAAGGAUUAAGGAAUAAAGUAGCAUUAAAAGUAAGUAUUAGAAGUAUAGUGAGGGUGAGAAUGAGAAGAAAAUCGGAGUUGAAUCGGGAAUCAUAAAUAGAAUACGGUAGAAGGGCAAAAUCGUCUUUUCACAUGAAAUAAAUAAAAUAUCUUGUUUAAAUCAUAGGGCACGAAAUUUCCAGCAUUUUGGACAUGUUUGACUUCAAAAUAUGCCUUAAAGUUAAUAGAAAAUUCUAGAGAAAAUAAAAUAACUAUGCAUGAUUUGAUGAAUGCCACUUGUACACCAAAAAUACCAUGAAAUUAAUUAAUAAUUUGGGACACUUUUAUAAACCAAAAAUAACACUAUUUAUCCUCAUUUUCAUCCCAAAAGUCGUGUCCUCCAUAGCCAAGGAGUUCCAAGCUUUCAUCUUCAAAUUUUAGCUCCGUUUCUCAACGUAUUGAAUACCCGAUCGCGCAAUCGGUGUUAAAUCAAGGUAGCUACACCCAAAUGUUAGCAAAUGAAAGGAAAAAGGAUCGGCGAAAGAAGAAAUGUCGAAUGGAAAGGUUUGGAAAUAACGUCAUCCAGGUAGCAUGCUCAACACUUAAAUGGCCUAAUUCUCUUACGUGUUUUUCCGUGAUUAUUACGUGACGAUAAAUGAUAUAUGAUGAUGAGAUGUAUACAAAUAUGAUUAAAUGUGAUGAUGCUUGAUCGAUCUAUCUAUCUAUCUAUCUAUCUGUGAUGAGGUAUGAUCUGUCUGUGUUGUUGGGAAUCUGGGAUGAUUUUGAGAAUGUCGGAAUUUAAUCUAUAAAUUCGAUAUGAUAUGGUGUGAAAAUAAGUUGUUGAUGUGUUAUAUUAGAAAUAAUUGAGAAUAUGUAUUGAGAUGAAAAUGAGUAAAUUUGAUGGUGUUUACGCCCCGUGCUUGAGUGUAUUCUGUGGGUACAAUUGGCAUGCCAUAGGACAGCAGCGCUGCAUCAUCUGUGAUCUCUCGUCUUCUGGAUAACUGAAGCGAGGAUCGUCUGUUAUCUGAUCUGUCUGAUCUACACCCUAUGGGUGGUCUGUUCCCGGGAUUAUCUGUAUGCAUCCGAAAUGGAUGGUCUGAUUAUCUGUCUGCACCCUAAUUGGGUGGUCUGUGCAGAGUCCUCUCGAGGACAAAAUCCGCGUUUGUAUCUGAUUCUGAUUUGGUCCGUGUACCCUAGUCUGUCACUAAGCACAUUAAGGGGCCAUGUGUGAAAUUAUGUGAUAAUGUCGAUCAAAAUAUUCGUGAUGAUAUAUGUGACAAUAUGUGUAUGACAACAUAUGAGUUAUAAUAUGAGAUUGUGUGAAACAUCUGUUAUAAUUUGAUAUGAUAAUAUCUUAUACGUGAAAAUAGAUUCUGUUACAUGGUUCUGUUGAGUUUUAUUAUAAAUAUUGAAAAUCUGAGACUUGCAGAUGUAGUUUAUGACAUGUGAAGUUUUGUAUUAUUAUACCCCUCUGAUGACAUAGUUUGGAAAUUUGAAGUCGUGGACGAAGAUUUGACUACUGGUACGGGUUAAUUGGAUCGUGGAUUCCUUUGGAUAUUUCUUUCGUUUCUUCGCCAGCACUGCAUCCUCGGUGGGUCACUGAUCACUGCUUGCGGCGUUUGUGUCCAUUUAUGUUAGAUGUGGCAUGUAUAGUAUUUGAAUAUUUGUAAUAGCUUCCGCUGUGUUUGUAAAUAGUGUUGGAACUUUUGCUGAUAGGUUAAUGAAUUAAGUUUGGUUUUUAAUUGACCAUAA